GACGAACGCUGGCGGCGUGCCUAAUACAUGCAAGUCGAGCGGAUCUUCAUUAGCUUGCUUUUGAAGAUCAGCGGCGAACGGGUGAGUAACACGUGGGCAACCUGCCUGUAAGACUGGGAUCACUUCGGGAAACCGGAGCUAAUACCGGAUAAUCCUUUUCCUCUCAUGGGGAAAAGCUGAAAGACGGUUUCGGCUGUCACUUACAGAUGGGCCCGCGGCGCAUUAGCUAGUUGGUGAGGUAACGGCUCACCAAGGCGACGAUGCGUAGCCGACCUGAGAGGGUGAUCGGCCACACUGGGACUGUGACACGGCCCAGACUCCUACGGGAGGCAGCAGUAGGGAAUCUUCCGCAAUGGACGAAAGUCUGACGGAGCAACGCCGCGUGAGCGAUGAAGGCCUUCGGGUCGUAAAGCUCUGUUGUCAGGGAAGAACAAGUACCGGAGUAACUGCCGGUACCUUGACGGUACCUGACCAGAAAGCCACGGCUAACUACGUGCCAGCCGCCGCAGUAA
rnacentral:rRNA from 1 species